UACGGAGGGAGCUAGCGUUGUUCGGAAUUACUGGGCGUAAAGCGCACGUAGGCGGCUUUGUAAGUUAGAGGUGAAAGCCCGGGACUCAACCCCGGAAUUGCCUUUAAGACUGCAUCGCUUGAAUCCAGGAGAGGUGAGUGGAAUUCCGAGUGUAGAGGUGAAAUUCGUAGAUAUUCGGAGGAACACCAGAGGCGAAGGCGGCCUACUGGGCUGCACCUGACGCUGAGCCGCGAAAGCCAGGGGAGCGAACGGG
rnacentral:rRNA from 1 species